rnacentral:rRNA from 3 species
AACGAACGCUGGCGGCAGGCCUAAUACAUGCAAGUCGAGCGCGCCCUUCGGGGUGAGCGGCGGACGGGUGAGUAACGCGUGGGAAUAUGCCCUUCUCUAAGGAAUAGCCUCUGGAAACGGAGAGUAAUACCUUAUACGCCCUUCGGGGGAAAGAUUUAUCGGAGAAGGAUUAGCCCGCGUUAGAUUAGGUAGUUGGUGGGGUAAUGGCCUACCAAGCCUACGAUCUAUAGCUGGUUUGAGAGGAUGAUCAGCCACACUGGGACUGAGACACGGCCCAGACUCCUACGGGAGGCAGCAGUAGGGAAUCUUAGACAAUGGGGGCAACCCUGAUCUAGCCAUGCCGCGUGUGUGAUGAAGGCCCUAGGGUCGUAAAGCACUUUCGCCAGAGAUGAUAAUGACAGUAUCUGGUAAAGAAACCCCGGCUAACUCCGUGCCAGCAGCCGCGGUAAUACGGAGGGGGUUAGCGUUGUUCGGAAUUACUGGGCGUAAAGCGCACGUAGGCGGAUUAGUAAGUUAGAGGUGAAAUCCCAGGGCUCAACCCUGGAACUGCCUUUAAUACUGCUAGUCUUGAGUUCGAGAGAGGUAAGUGGAAUUCCGAGUGUAGAGGUGAAAUUCGUAGAUAUUCGGAGGAACACCAGUGGCGAAGGCGGCUUACUGGCUCGAUACUGACGCUGAG